rnacentral:rRNA from 1 species
UACGGGGGGGAGCAAGCGUUUGUUCGGAUUUACUGGGCGUAAAGGGCGCGUAGGCGGCCACCGCAAGUCGACUGUGAAAUCUCCGGGCUUAACCCGGAAAGGUCAGCCGAUACUGCGGGGCUAGAGUGCAGAAGGGGCAACUGGAAUCUCGGUGUAGCGGUGAAAUGCGUAGAUAUCGAGAGGAACACCUGCGGCGAAGCGGGUUGCUGGGCUGACACUGACGCUGAGGCGCGAAAGCUAGGGGAGCAAACGGG